rnacentral:tRNA from 1 species
UCCCUCGUCGCCCAAUUGGCAGGGCAGGCGGCUGUUAACCGCCACGGUGCAGGUUCGAGUCCUGCCGGGGGAG